GGGAACAAGGAGCUGGUAUCAGGCACACCCUAUCAAAGCCCAUGACACCUUGCUUAGCCACACCCUCAAGGGAACUCAGCAGUGAUAAACAUUAAGCUAUAAGUGAAAACUUGACUUAGUCAAAGCUAAGAGGGCCGGUAAAACUCGUGCCAGCCACCGCGGUUAUACGAGAGGCCCAAACUGAUAGUCUCCGGCGUAAAGAGUGGUUAAAAUAAAUUAAAAACUAAAGCUGAAUAUCCUCAAAGCUGUUAUACGCAUCCGAGGACAAGAAAUUCAAUUUACGAAAGUAGCUUUAUAUCCCCUGAACCCACGAAAGCUAUGACACAAACUGGGAUUAGAUACCCCACUA
rnacentral:rRNA from 1 species